rnacentral:rRNA from 1 species
GAUGAACGCUGGCGGCGUGCCUAAUACAUGCAAGUAGAACGCUGAAGGAAGGAGCUUGCUCUUUCCGGAUGAGUUGCGAACGGGUGAGUAACGCGUAGGUAACCUGCCUGGUAGCGGGGGAUAAAUAUUGGAAACGAUAGCUAAUACCGCAUAACAGUAGAUGUUGCAUGAUAUCUACUUAAAAGGUGCAAUUGCACCACUACCAGAUGGACCUGCGUUGUAUUAGCUAGUUGGUGAGGUAACGGCUCACCAAGGCGACGAUACAUAGCCGACCUGAGAGGGUGAUCGGCCACACUGGGACUGAGACACGGCCCAGACUCCUACGGGAGGCAGCAGGAGGGAAUCUUCGGCAAUGGACGGAAGUCUGACCGAGCAACGCCGCGUGAGUGAAGAAGGAUUUCGAAUCGUAAAGCUCUGUUGUAAGAGAAGAACGAGUGUGAGAGUGGAAAGUUCACACUGUGACGGUAUCUUACCAGAAAGGGACGGCUAACUACGUG